rnacentral:rRNA from 1 species
UUUGAUUCUGGCUCAGAUUGAACGCUGGCGGAAUGCUUUACACAUGCAAGUCGAACGGCAGCACGGGUGCUUGCACCUGGUGGCGAGUGGCGAACGGGUGAGUAAUGCGUCGGAACGUACCGAGUAAUGGGGGAUAACGCGGCGAAAGUCGCGCUAAUACCGCAUACGCCCUGAGGGGGAAAGUGGGGGAUCGCAAGACCUCACGUUAUUCGAGCGGCCGACGUCUGAUUAGCUAGUUGGUGGGGUAAAGGCCUACCAAGGCGACGAUCAGUAGCGGGUCUGAGAGGAUGAUCCGUCACACUGGGACUGAGACACGGCCCAGACUCCUACGGGAGGCAGCAGUGGGGAAUUUUGGACAAUGGGGGCAACCCUGAUCCAGCCAUUCCGCGUGAGUGAAGAAGGCCUUCGGGUUGUAAAGCUCUUUCAGCUGGAACGAAACGGUACAGGUUAAUACCCUGUGCUAAUGACGGUACCGGCAGAAGAAGCACCGGCUAACUACGUGCCAGCAGCCGCGGUAAUACGUAGGGUGCGAGCGUUAAUCGGAAUUACUGGGCGUAAAGCGUGCGCAGGCGGAUUGUUAAGCAAGAUGUGAAAUCCCCGGGCUUAACCUGGGAAUGGCAUUUUGAACUGGCAGUCUAGAGUGCGUCAGAGGGGGGUGGAAUUCCACGUGUAGCAGUGAAAUGCGUAGAGAUGUGGAGGAACACCAAUGGCGAAGGCAGCCCCCUGGGAUGACACUGACGCUCAUGUACGAAAGCGUGGGUAGCAAACAGGAUUAGAUACCCUGGUAGUCCACGCCCUAAACGAUGUCAACUGGUUGUUGGGGGAGUGAAAUCCCUUAGUAACGAAGCUAACGCGUGAAGUUGACCGCCUGGGGAGUACGGUCGCAAGAUUAAAACUCAAA